AUUGAACGCUGGCGGCAGGCCUAACACAUGCAAGUCGAACGGUAACAGGAAGACGCUUGCUUCUUUGCUGACGAGUGGCGGACGGGUGAGUAAUGUCUGGGAAACUGCCUGAUGGAGGGGGAUAACUACUGGAAACGGUAGCUAAUACCGCAUAACGUCGCAAGACCAAAGAGGGGGACCUUCGGGCCUCUUGCGAUCGGAUGUGCCCAGCUGGGAUUAGCUAGUAGGUGGGGUAACGGCUCACCUAGGCGACGAUCCCUAGCUGGGCUGAGAGGAUGAACAGCCACACUGGAACUGAGACACGGUCCAGACUCCUACGGGAGGCAGCAGUGGGGAAUAUUGCACAAUGGGCGCAAGCCUGAUGCAGCCAUGCCGCGUGUAUGAAGAAGGCCUUCGGGUUGUAAAGUACUUUCAGCGGGGAGGAAGGGAGUAAAGUUAAUACCUUGGCUCAUUGACGUUACCCGCAGAAGAAGCACCGGCUAACUCCGUG
rnacentral:rRNA from 1 species